rnacentral:miRNA from 1 species
UCUCCCUUCAUGUGCCCAGA